GGCCUAACACAUGCAAGUCGAGCGGAAACGAUGGAAGCUUGCUUCCAGGCGUCGAGCGGCGGACGGGUGAGUAAUGCAUAGGAAUCUGCCCGAUAGUGGGGGAUAACCUGGGGAAACCCAGGCUAAUACCGCAUACGUCCUACGGGAGAAAGCAGGGGAUCUUCGGACCUUGCGCUAUCGGAUGAGCCUAUGUCGGAUUAGCUAGUUGGUGAGGUAAUGGCUCACCAAGGCUGCGAUCCGUAGCUGGUCUGAGAGGAUGAUCAGCCACAUCGGGACUGAGACACGGCCCGAACUCCUACGGGAGGCAGCAGUGGGGAAUAUUGGACAAUGGGCGAAAGCCUGAUCCAGCCAUGCCGCGUGUGUGAAGAAGGCUUUCGGGUUGUAAAGCACUUUCAGUGGGGAAGAAAUCCUCGGGGCCAAUACCCUCGAGGGAGGACAUCACCCACAGAAGAAGCACCGGCUAACUCCGUGCCAGCAGCCGCGGUAAUACGGAGGGUGCGAGCGUUAAUCGGAAUUACUGGGCGUAAAGCGCGCGUAGGCGGCGUGAUAAGCCGGUUGUGAAAGCCCCGGGCUCAACCUGGGAACGGCAUCCGGAACUGUCAGGCUAGAGUGCAGGAGAGGAAGGUAGAAUUCCCGGUGUAGCGGUGAAAUGCGUAGAGAUCGGGAGGAAUACCAGUGGCGAAGGCGGCCUUCUGGACUGACACUGACGCUGAGGUGCGAAAGCGUGGGUAGCAAACAGGAUUAGAUACCCUGGUAGUCCACGCCGUAAACGAUGUCGACUAGCCGUUGGGGUCCUUGUGACCUUUGUGGCGCAGUUAACGCGAUAAGUCGACCGCCUGGGGAGUACGGCCGCAAGGUUAAAACUCAAAUGAAUUGACGGGGGCCCGCACAAGCGGUGGAGCAUGUGGUUUAAUUCGAUGCAAUCGCGAAGAACCUUAUC
rnacentral:rRNA from 1 species